AGCCUUCACUUCGAAAGCGCGAAGGUCUAUAUAAGACGAGUUCCUCGGAACUAUGGCGAUAAACCCGCGCGUAAUAAGCGGCUCGGACCCGGGGGCGGUACCCGGCGGCUCCACCAGAACUCUCCGGUCGUGGCCGGACGGCAAGGGGCCGAAAUAGCAUCGACGGACGUGUAAAGGCGAUGACUUCGCUCGACUGGGCCCCGACAGAAGCCCGAUACGCAAUAGUUGCCAACGACAACUUUGCUGAAGGUCAGGCUCUCGCAGCGUAAUGCAGUGCGGGUCUAACCGAACCUAAGUCCUCAGCUGUAGCAAGCUGAGGCGGGGCCCGGGGGCGCCUGGCAACAGAAGCCCCCACU
rnacentral:tmRNA from 1 species